GUGCUCGCUCCCGCGGCACACACACGAAAGCUGGAACGAUACAGAGAACAUUAGCUUGGUCCCUGCGCAAGGAUGACACGCAAAUUCAAUUCUGAAGCAUUGU
ensembl:snRNA U6 U6 spliceosomal RNA